rnacentral:misc_RNA from 1 species
AAGUCGUAACAAGGUUUCCGUAGGUGAACCUGCGGAAGGAUCAUUAUACGUUUAUCCAACGUACCAACCAACGCGCUCUCGUUUAACCCGAGUCUGUGCACGAGCUUUCUUAGGCCAUCCAAAAUAUGGUGGGAACCGCAAGGUUCUGUUUGGGUGGUCGAUCACGAACUCGCGCACUGCAACCAUUUUUUUAUAUUCAUUUAUUAAACGCAUUGUAAUCACUUGUACUAAUUACGAUAAACAUCUUUUUCUUUUCUUUUUUUUUCUUCAUUGAAAAAGAGAGAGAGACAAGGUGGAAUUAAGACAUUAAUUGCUGAACAACUCUUAGCAACGGAUAUCUUGGUUCUC